rnacentral:rRNA from 1 species
UCAAGUGACUAAGUGCAUGUGGCGGAUGCCUUGGCGAUCACAGGCGAAGAAAGACGCGGCAGCCUGCGAAAAGCUGCGGGGAGCUGGCAAACGAGCUUUGAUCCGCAGAUAUCUGAAUGGGGGAACCCACACCGCAAGGUGUAUCCGUGACUGAAUACAUAGGUUACGGAGGCGAACGAGGAGAACUGAAACAUCUAAGUAUCCUCAGGAAAAGAAAUCAACCGAGAUUCCGGCAGUAGCGGCGAGCGAACCCGGAGGAGCCUAGCUUUUGAUAGUACGAACUUUAGCCGAAAGGUCCUGGAAAGGCCUGCUAUAGUGGGUGAUAGCCCCGUAGGCGAAAGAGUUCGUACGGUACUAAGGAAGCGAGAAGUAGAGCGGGACACGUGGAAUCCUGUUCGAAGAUGGGGGGACCAUCCUCCAAGGCUAAAUACUCGUGAUCGACCGAUAGUGAACCAGUACCGUGAGGGAAAGGCGAAAAGAACCCCGGGAGGGGAGUGAAAUAGAACCUGAAACCGCAUGCAUACAAACAGUAGGAGCCUCACCAGAGGUGACUGCGUACCUUUUGCAUAAUGGGUCAGCGACUUACAUUCUGUGGCGAGCUUAACCGAAUAGGGGAGGCGCAGCGAAAGCGAGUUCGAAAUGAGCGUCCAGUCGCAGGGUGUAGACCCGAAACCAGAUGAGCUAUCCAUGGCCAGGUUGAAGGUGUGGUAACACACACUGGAGGACCGAACCGACUAGUGUUGCAAAAUUAGCGGAUGAGCUGUGGAUAGGGGUGAAAGGCCAAACAAAUCUGGAGAUAGCUGGUUCUCCCCGAAAACUAUUGAGGUAGUGCCUCGUGUGUCGCUCCAGGGGGUAGAGCACUGUUUUGGCUAGGGGGACAUGGAGUCUUACCAAACCAAGGCAAACUCCGAAUACCUGGAAGCGUAAGCACGGGAGACAGAGCACCGGGUGCUAACGUCCGGACUCAAAAGGGAAACAACCCAGACCGCCGGCUAAGGUCCCCAAUAACAGCUAAGUGGAAAACGAAGUGGAAAGGCCGUGACAACCAGGAAGUUGGCUUAGAAGCAGCCAUCCUUCAAAGAAAGCGUAAUAGCUCACUGGUCGAGUCCUUCUGCGCGGAAGAUGUAACGGGGCUAAGCUGUUAACCGAAGCCGCGGAUGCACUGAUUAUUCAGUGCGUGGUAGGGGAGCGUUCUGUAAGUCUGCGAAGGCGGUUCGAGAGGACUGCUGGAGAUAUCAGAAGUGCGAAUGCUGACAUGAGUAACGUUAAAGCAGGUGAAAAGCCUGCUCGCCGUAAGCCCAAGGAUUCCUGCUCUACGUUCAUCGGAGCAGGGUGAGUCGGCUCCUAAGGUCAGGCCGAAAGGCGUAGCCGAUGGGAAUCAGGUUAAUAUUCCUGAACCUGCGUCAGAUGCGAUGGGGGGACGGAGCAUGAAAGAUCAUCCGGGUGUUGGAUGUCCCGGUUGUUGAGCGUAGGAGGUCUGCAGGCAAAUCCGCAGACGCAUCUCCAAGGCAAAGACACGUGCCGCCACGGCGGCGAAGUGAUCGGAAGUGCUUCCAAGAAAAGCCUCUAAGCACCAGUCUGACGCGGACCGUACCGCAAACCGACACUGGUGGGCGAGCUGAAUAUGCUCAGGCGCUUGAGAGAACUCGGGAGAAGGAACUCGGCAAAUUGACACCGUAACUUCGGAAGAAGGUGUGCCGUAGUACCGUGAGAGGAGAGACACCUUGAGCGGGAAUCGGUCUCAGAGAAUAGGUGGCUGCGACUGUUUAUUAAAAACACAGCACUCUGCAAAGUCGAAAGACGACGUAUAGGGUGUGAUGCCUGCCCGGUGCUGGAAGAUUAAUUGAUGGGGUGAGAGCCCUUGAUCGAAGUCCCAGUAAACGGCGGCCGUAACUAUAACGGUCCUAAGGUAGCGAAAUUCCUUGUC